rnacentral:rRNA from 1 species
GACGAACGCUGGCGGCGUGCUUAACACAUGCAAGUCGAACGGAAAGGCCCUGCUUGCAGGGUACUCGAGUGGCGAACGGGUGAGUAACACGUGGGUGAUCUGCCCUGCACUUCGGGAUAAGCUUGGGAAACUGGGUCUAAUACCGGAUAGGAGCCAUCUUUAGUGUGGUGGUUGGAAAGUUUUUUCGGUGUAGGAUGAGCUCGCGGCCUAUCAGCUUGUUGGUGGGGUAAUGGCCUACCAAGGCGGCGACGGGUAGCCGGCCUGCGAGGGUGUACGGCCACAUUGGGACUGAGAUACGGCCCAGACUCCUACGGGAGGCAGCAGUGGGGAAUAUGGCACAAUGGGCGCAAGCCUGAUGCAGCGACGCCGCGUGGGGGAUGAAGGCCUUCGGGUUGUAAACUCCUUUCGCUAGGGACGAAGCGUUGUUGUGACGGUACCUAGAUAAGAAGCACCGGCUAACUACGUG